rnacentral:rRNA from 1 species
AUUGAACGCUGGCGGCAGGCCUAACACAUGCAAGUCGAGCGGAGCGGCGGACGGGUGAGUAAUGCCUAGGAAUCUGCCUGGUAGUGGGGGAUAACGUCCGGUAACGGGCCCUAAUACCGAAUACUAUUAGAUGAGCCUAGGUCGGAUUAGCUCGUUGGGGUGGUAAAGGCCUACGAAGGCAACGAGCCGUAUCUGGUCUGAGAGGAGGAUCAGCCACACUGGAACUGAGACACGGUCCAGACUCCUACGGGAGGCAGCAGUAGGGAAUAUUGGACAAUGGGCGAAAGCCUGAUCCAGCCAUGCCGCGUGUGUGAAGAAGGUCUUCGGAUUGUAAAGCACUUUAAGUUGGGAAGCGUUACCAACAGAAUAAGCACCGGCUAACUUCGUGCCAGCAGCCGCGGUAAUUC